CGCACGGGUGAGUAACACGUAUCCAACCUGCCGUCUACUCUUGGACAGCCUUCUGAAAGGAAGAUUAAUACAAGAUGGCAUCAUGAGUCCGCAUGUUCACAUGAUUAAAGGUAUUCCGGUAGACGAUGGGAUGCGUUCCAUUAGAUAGUAGGCGGGGUAACGGCCCACCUAGUCUUCGAUGGAUAGGGGUUCUGAGAGGAAGGUCCCCCACAUUGGAACUGAGACACGGUCCAA
rnacentral:rRNA from 1 species